rnacentral:rRNA from 1 species
GUAGGGAAUCUUGCGCAAUGGGCGAAAGCCUGACGCAGCCAUGCCGCGUGAAUGAUGAAGGUCUUAGGAUUGUAAAAUUCUUUCACCGGGGACGAUAAUGACGGUACCCGGAGAAGAAGCCCCGGCUAACUUCGUGCCAGCAGCCGCGGUAAUACGAAGGGGGCUAGCGUUGCUCGGAAUUACUGGGCGUAAAGGGAGCGUAGGCGGAUAGUUUAGUCAGAGGUGAAAGCCCAGGGCUCAACCUUGGAAUUGCCUUUGAUACUGGCUAUCUUGAGUAUGGAAGAGGUAUGUGGAUCUCCGAGUGUAGAGGUGAAAUUCGUAGAUAUUCGGAAGAACACCAGUGGCGAAGGCGACAUACUGGUCCAUUACUGACGCUGAGGCUCGAAAGCGUGGGGAGCAAACAGGAUUAGAAACCCGAGUAGUCC